rnacentral:rRNA from 1 species
UACACGCUGUGACUAGCAUAUCAAUAAGCGGAGGAAAAGAAACUAACAAGGAUUCCCUCAGUAACGGCGAGUGAAGCGGGAAGAGCUCAAAUUUGAAAUCUUGAAAGGUCACCUUUCACGAAUUGUAGUUUAAAGAAGUGUUUUCUGUUACGAUCGUAAUAUAAGUUCUUUGGAAUAGGACAUCACAGAGGGUGAGAAUCCCGUCUAUGAUUGCGAUUUGUAGCUUUGUGAUACACUUUCAAAGAGUCGGGUUGUUUGGGAAUGCAGCCCAAAACGGGAGGUAAAUUUCUUCUAAGGCUAAAUAUUGGCGAGAGACCGAUAGGCGGGAACAAGUACCGUGAGGGAAAGAUGAAAAGAACUUUGAAAAGAGAGUUAAAUAGUACGUGAAAUUGUCAAAAGGGAAGCGUUUAACACCAGUGUUGUUUUCUGAAAAUCAACCUCUGUUAGCUUUAUGCAUGUUUGUUUAGACCUAAUCAGCUAUCUUUCAUGUUCUAUUGUUUGCAGUGGUGCACUUUUCAGUUUACAGGUCAACAUCAGUUUUUUUUACCGUAAAAAAGUUAAAGAAAGGUAGCUCAUGGCUCCGGUCGUGAGUGUUAUAGUCUUUUUCCUAUGCGGUAGGAGAGACUGAGGUCUGCAGUGUAGGCUAUUUGGCUAGAUACUCAGGUGCUAUGUGAUACCAUUUCAUAAACAACUUGUUGAUUAUGUUUUGUCUAUUGCAUACUCGCUACCUAUCUAUACCUACGCUUAGGAUGUUGAGUAGCGACAUACGCAC